GCGGUGGAUGAUGUGUUUAAUUCGAUGCAACGACGAAAACCUUACCACCUUUGACAUGUACGGAAGCCUUUAGAGAUAGAGGCGUGCUCGAAAGAGAGCCGUAACACAGGUGCUGCAUGGCUGUCGUCAGCUCGUGUCGUGAGAUGUUGGGUUAAGUCCCGCAACGAGCGCAACCCUUGUCAUUAGUUGCUACAUUCAGUUGGGCACUCUAAUGAGACUGCCGGUGACAAGCCGGAGGAAGGUGGGGAUGACGUCAAGUCCUCAUGGCCCUUAUAGGUGGGGCUACACACGUCAUACAAUGGCUGGUACAAAGGGUUGCCAACCCGCGAGGGGGAGCUAAUCCCAUAAAGCCAGUCGUAGUUCGGAUCGUAGUCUGCAACUCGACUACGUGAAGUCGGAAUCGCUAGUAAUCGUGGAUCAGAAUGUCACGGUGAAUACGUUCCCGGGUCUU
rnacentral:rRNA from 1 species